UGCGUAAUGACGCAUUUACGCAGGAGCAAUGUCACAGUUGCAACACCGAUUUAUUCUAAACUGUAUAAUCAUUUUCAUAAACCACAGAUACGGAUGUUCAUCCUUAUUCCAACAACGAUUUGCAUAACAUUGCCAAUCCCUUGUGAGGGCCGUGUAGUGGGGCCCGUGAGCGGCAGAUGAGGCUGGGGUCCAGCUUCAGCGGCGCCCUGCAGCCUCCCAAUGGUCUCCCCCACUAUGAAGGCACUGGUGGAUGCCGCGUGGGCGGUGUGGAGCAUCGGUGCCUCCGUCUAUGACUACAUCCACACCAGCGCCAUGGAGGAGCGCAUCCACACGCUGGAGACCGUCACCACCAUUCACCAGUGUGUCAUCGCAGCGCUGACCGCUGGAGUGGUGGUGCUCUUCACCUACAUACUGUUGAGGAAGCACUGAGGGGGAGUGAGGAAGGAGAAGCCACGCAGGGCCCAGGAGGCAAGUUGAGGACAACACUGGAUUACCAUAGUGAUCAGAAGCAUUGAGAGUGUGGGUCUGGAAAGUCAUCCAGACCUACAUGGAUGAGAUGGGGCAGGACAUGAUUAAUAAGGGAUUUUGGCUACUAGAAAAGUUUUUGGCUAUUUGGCCUUUAUCUCGACUGCCAAUUGUACCAUUCUACCACGGAGGUGUUGCUGGAUACUGUGUGUCUCAGUGAGUCAAUAGUUUCACUCGCUUUGCACCAAUGGAAGAAGACAUGGGCAGAAUAUGCAUCGAAAUGUAUCUUUUUACAAAUACAAGUUACUUUAAAGUAGAGGUCGACCGAUUAUGAUUUUUCAACGCCGAUACCGAUUAUUGGAGGACCAAUAAAAGCCGAUACCAAUUAAUCGUAUCGGCUUUUAUUGGUAUAUAUAUAUAUAUUUGUAAUAAUGACAAUUACAACAAUACUGAAUGAACAAUGAACACUUAUUUUAACUUAAUAAAAUACUUACAUAAAAUCCAUUUAGUCUCAAAUAAAUAAUGAAACAAACUCAAUUUGGUUUAAAUAAUGCAAAAACACAGUGUUGGAGAAAAAAGUAAAAGUGCAGUAUGUGCCAUGUAAAAAAAGCUAACAUUUAAGUUCCUUGCUCAGAACAUAUGAAAGCUGAUGGGUCAAUAUUCCCAGUUAAGAAGUUUUUGGUUGUAGUUAUUAUAGAAAUUAUGACGCGUCGACUAUUUCUCUCUAUACCAUUUGUAUUUCAUAUACAUUUUGACUAUUGGAUGUUUUAAUAGGCACUUUAGUUUUGCCAGCCUAAUCUCGGGAGUAGGCUUGAAGUCAUAAACAGCGCUGUGCCUCCAACAUUGCUAAGAGCUGCUGGCCAACGCAGUAAAGUUUGAAUGAAUGCUUACGAGCCUGCUGCUGCCUACCAGCGCUCAGUCAGACAUAUUGAACGGGUGGCAACCCUAAGUCUAAAUAUUGCGGUUACAUUGCACAACCUUCAAUGUUAUGUCAUAAUUAUGUACAAUUCUGGCAAAUUAGUUUGCAACGAGCCAGGCGGCCCAAACUGCUGCAUAUACCCUGACUUUGCUUGCACAACGCAAGUGAAGUGACACAAUUUCCCUAGUUAAUAUUGCCUGCUAUCAUGAAUUUCUUUUAACUAAAUAUGCAGGUUUAAAAAUAUAUACUUCUGUGUAUUGAUUUUAAGAAAGGCGUUGAUGCUUAUGGUUAGGUACAUUUGUGCAAAGAUUGUGCUUUUUUCGGCAAUGAGCUUUUGUUAAAUCAUCUCCCGUUUGGUCUGGUUGAAGUAGGCUGUGAUUCGAUGAUAAAUUAACAGCCACCACAUUGAUUAUAUGCAGCGCAGAACAAGCUCGUUAACCUAGUAAUAUCAUCAACCAUGUGUAGCUAACUAGUGAUUAUGUGAAGAUUGAUUGUUUUUUACGAGGUAAGUUUAAUGCUAGCUAGCAACUUACCUUGGCUCCUUGCUGCACACGCAUAACAGGUGGUCAGCCUGCCACACAAUUUCCUCGUGGAUUGCAAUGUCAUCGGCGUCCAUAAAUGCUGAUUACCAAUUGUUAUGAAGACUUGAAAUUGGCCCUAAUUAAAUCGGUGGGCCUCUACUCUAAAGACCAAUGUAUCAAACUAAAAUACAAAAUACUUUUGCAAAGUAUUGUAUUUAGAAUGAUUUAUUUUUUAAUACAAAAUACAUUUGCAAGUACACGCCUUCACUACAACAAUAGUCUUAGUAACGGAAACAAAAAACAACAACAUUUAACUUGCUAUGACUGUAAUAUGUGGUUGUUUAUCUACCUUGAUUGAAUGCACUGACUGUAAGUCGCUAUGGAUAAAUGUCUGCUAAAUGACCUAAAUGUAAAAAUGAACAAUUGCAAAGCACACUGGGUAUUAUUAUUGGCCUCAUUUUGUGGGUGGAGCUCAUCAAUAAUACCCACCAUGCUUUGCAGGUGGACAUUUUUACAUUUACAUGUUCACUCAGCAGACACUCAUAUAACACCAUAGUGCCGUGACUUCUGAUACCGAUGCAGGGUGACAGGGGGCCACCAAAUGUUGAACCGCUAUAAAAUAAAAAAUAGUAUAGAAAAUGAUUCUGCAUUUUGAAAAUAUAAAUGACAGGUCUCGAAAGUAUCUUGUUACAAACUACAUUGGAUUGUAGUUCAGGCCGGUGAAAUGCAAAUGACAAAAUAUUCCAAAGUAAUUUACAUUUCAAACACAUGUAACAGGAAUACUGCCCAUCUCUGGAUGUGGGGAUGCUAAAACCACAGAGAUACCUCAACCUGCAGACUGUAAUCUAAUAGCGCACUAAAGGGAUGCUAACUAUCAUUAGGUUUGCCUGCCUUAAUAUGCCUCAAGUGGUUUCACUCCCCAGAUGGAACAACAGUAUUAGUUAGAUAGGUUUUCAUGUUGGCACUAAUUGCUUAUCCCGCCUGUAUGAUGCAUGGGAAAACUGUAAACUGGGGAUUCCCUCUUCAAUACCAUGAUUGUACGAGGUGCCAGCCCAGUCUAUAAUUGGAAGUCUUGGUCAUGAAGAUGAAAGCGUUCACUUAAGACGUUAACUAUUAUAUCACCCAGUGAGGGAGAGUGGAAUAUCAUGGGACGGACUGAAUGUAUUCUCAAGAAGCCUUAUUUGUUGUAGAAAACUGGCCUCAAGGUUCUAUGAAUUACUCUGUAGGAGAAGGAGAGUUUCUGUGAAGCAUUCAAAGGUCAAUACACUGGUCGUCAUGAAUGCCAUUUAGUACAGUACAUGUUAUUUGAUAAAAACAACUUUAAAGCAUGCUUAUUUGAUUACUAAAAUAAAUAAAUGUAGAUGGUCUUGUAAUGCAAGACUUUGUAGUGGCAUUCCGUGGCGUUAGUUGAACAUGGCUACAGCUGUGAAGGUUACGUCACUGGAAAGAGUAAUUAGAGGCAUCCUUACCUGUAAAAUGUGAAUCAACCUGAAUGUUUUGGUACAUUGUUUAUAAAUGUUUCAGUAAUGCUUGCACUCAUCAUUAAAAGGGUAUUAAACACAUUGUAGGCCUUAAAAAAAAGCCAUGAAUGUUGUUUAAUCCAUUUAAAUUGUACACUUGCUACAAUAUAUGACGAAUACACAAUGUUUGCCCUAUCAUCUUGUUCAGAUUGCUAAAAUGGGCCUCAGUGAAAUGUUUCAGGUAAAUCAAAUGUGACAAAGGCCUCCAUGGCAAUACAACAUUUAAUAAUCUCCUGGAUCUUUGUGUGAAUAUACAGUGCCUUCAGCCUUAUUCUAAAAUGGAUUAAAUAAAAACAUUUCCUCAGCAAUCUACUCACAAUACCCCAGAAUGACAAAGCAAAUACAAGUUCUUAGUAUUUUUUGUUAAUAAAAAAAUAAAUGAAAAACAUACCUUAUUUACAUAAGUAUUCAGUCCAUUUGCUAUGACACUCGAAAAUUGAGCUCAGGUGCAUCCUGUUUCCAUUGACAAUCCUUGAUGUUUCUACAAAUUAUUUUGUAGUAGUCCACCUUUGGUAAAUUAAAUUGAUUGGACAUGAUUUGGAAAGGCACACACCUGUCUAUAUAACAUCCCACAGUUGGCAGUGCAUGUCAGAGCAAAAACCAAGCCAUGAGGUCAAAGGAAUUGUCCGUAGAGCUCAGAGAUAAGAUUGUGUCGAGGCACAGAUCUGGGGAAGGGUCCCAAAAAAAUUGCUACAGCAUUGAAAGUCCCAAGAACACAGUGGCCUCCAUCAUUCUUAAAUGGAAGAAGUUUGGAACCACCAAGAUUCUUCCUAGAGCUGGCCGCCCCGCCAAACUGAGCAAUUGGGGGAGAAGGGCCCUGGUUAGGGAGGUGACCAAGAACCCGAUGGUCACUCUGACAGAGCUCUAGAGUACCUCUGUGGAGAUGGGAGAACCUUCCAGAAGGACAACCAUCUCUGUAGCACUCCACUAAGCAGGCCUUUGUGGUAGAGUGGCCAGACGGAAGCCACUCCUCAGUAAAAGGCACAUGACAGCCCGCUUGGAGUGUGUCAAAAGGCACCCAAAAACUCUGACCAUGAGAAACAAAAUCUUCUGGUCUGAUGAAACCGAGAUUGAACUCUUUGGCCUGAAUGCAAAGUUUCACAUCUGGAGGAAACCUGGCACCAUCCCAACGGUGAAGCAUGGUAGUGGCACCAUCAUGCUGUGGAGAUGUUUUUCAGUGGCAGGGACUGGGAGACUAGUCAGGAUCGAGGCAAAGAUGAACAGAGCAAAGUACAGAGAGAUCCUUAAUGAAAACCUGCUCCAGAGUACUCAGGACCUCAGGCUGUGGCGAAAGUUCACCUUCCAACAAGACAAUGACCCUAAGCACACAGCAGAAACAACGCAGGAGUGGCUUCAGGUCUGAAUGUCCUUGAAUGUCCCAGCCAGAACCCAAUCGAGCAUCUCUGGAGACCUGAAAAUAGCUGUGCAGCAACGCUCCCCGUCCAACAUGACAGAGCUUGAGAGGAUCUGCAGAAAAGAAUGGGAGAAACUCCCCAUAUUUUACUGCUGCUCUUUAAUUACUUGUUCCUUUUAUUUCUUAUUCAUAUAUUUUUUUAACUGCAUUGUUGGUUAGGGGCUUGUAAGUAAGCAUUUCACUGUAACGUCUAUCUACACCUGUUGUAUUCGGUGCAUGUGACAAAUAACAUACCCAAGAAGACUCAAGUCUGUAAUCGCUGCCAAAGGUGCUUCAACAAAAGUACUGAGUAAAGGGUCUGAAUACUUAUGUAAAUGCGAUAUUUCACUUUUAUUUUGUAUAAAUUAGCAACAAUUUCUAAACACCUGUUUUUGAUUUGUCAUUAUGGGGUAUUGUGUGUGGAUUGAUGAGGAAAACAACUAUUUACAUUUUUGAAUAAGGCUGUAAUGUAACAAAAUGUGGAAAAAGUCAAGGGGUCUCUACUAAGGUACAGGAGAGUGCAAUGUUCUGCAAUGUUCUGACUGCAGAUAAAUGUCUUGUAUAGAGCUGAAUCUGUUAACACUAAUCAAGAAAAGGUUUUGCAGAGCACUGGUUGGUCAGUGGAUCUACUGCUAUCCCUAGGCUCCAAUCUGAGGAAGCAAGUCAGGGGUCGUUAUGCUCAUAAUACUCACAUGUAUUUAAGUAGUCAUGUGACGCACUGGUUAUUGAAACAGAAGAACGAUAAUCCCAUGUGCUACAAUGUGUGAUAUUGACCUACAGAUGGAACACUGUAGAAACACCCUGACCAAGGAGACUGCAGAGAUGCUUUUAUUUCAAGUUAACAGCGACAAAAUUAAUGUUUUGUAAAUACGUAAUAAAUGUUAUUUUCACUGAUGUGUACAUUUUUUAUUUUACCUUUAUUUAACCAGGCAAGUCGGUUAAGAACACAUUCUUAUUUUCAAUGACGGCCUGGGAACAGUGGGUUAACUGUCUGUUCAGGGGCAGAACGACAGAUUUGUACCUUGUCAGCUCGGGGGUUUGAACUCGAAACCUUCCGGUUACUAGUCCAACGCUCUAACCACUAGGCUACGCUGCCGCCCCAGCGGCAUUAACAUAACUCUUCAAAAAAUAAAAUGAUUAAAGUUGUAAACUUGUAUGAAAGACCACGUUGAAUACAAAAUGUAAGGAAAUGUAAAGUACAAAUUGAACUCGAUCAUAUAAAGUGUGUUCUAGAUGUGUCCAGUCUGCAGCAGGGUGUACUGGGCAGUGAAUCUCUCCACACUCUCCCCCUCCAGCAGCUUCAUGGCUCUCCAGUGGAUCUUCCCACAGCUUUCUGGCUGGCCGCUGGGCCCAAGCUCCUCUCGGAUGUACUCCAGCCACAGAUCUGGAGGGAAAAAGCCAUACAGACAGUCCUGAGUGACCAUCUCAACUUACUUUAUCCCAGAAAACUACAUGGAAGUAAAGGUUUAUACUCAUGCCAUACUAAAACACCUCAAAUCAGCUAAUCAAAGUUGCUGUUGAUUCAGGUGUGUUAAUGUUGGGCUGGAAUAAAAGCCUGCAAAACCUGUAGUUCCAACCAUCUUGGGAGUCUCCUAAAAGAACAGUCACACCAUUCCAGUUAGUACAACAGCCUUGCCAAUGACCAUAGCCCGUUGGCUAUGCAGCACAAACAGAUCUGGGAACAGACUUACAAAAAUCCUAACAUUAGUGUGAAAAGUUAAACCCUUUAUGCAACAUUUUGUACAUAAAGCCACAACAAUGUGUGGAAAUAUUGGAACAACCGGCUAGUUUGAGACGAUGCCUUGGUUGGUUGCAACAUAUAUUUGUCUGAGCAUGGACUAUCUUUCCGAUUUGGUCCUGCGUACAUACCUACACAAACGCUACGGUCACAAGACGCAGGCCUCCUUAGUGUCCCUAGAAUUUCUAAACAAACAGCUGGAGGCAGGGCUUUCUCCUAUAGAGCUCCAUUUUUAUGAUAUUUUCUGCCUACCGAUGUGAGAGACGCAAACUCGGUCUCAACCUUUAAGUCUUUACUGAAGACUCAUCUCUUCAGUAGGUCCUAUGAUUGAGUGUAGUCUGGCCCAAGGAGUGUGAAGGUGAACGGAAAGGCACUGGAGCAACGAACCGCCCUUGCUGUCUCUGCCUGGCCGGUUCCCCUCUCUCCGCUGGGAUUCUCUGCCUCUAACCCUAUUACAGGGGCUGAGUCACUGGCUUACUGGUGCUCUUCCAUGCCAUCCCUGGGAGGGGUGCGUCACUUGAGUGGGUUGAGUCAUUGACGUGAUCUUCCUGUCUGGGUUGGCGCUCCCCCUUGCGUUGUGCCGUGGCAGAGAUCUUUGUGGGCUAUACUUUGUGGUUGAAGAUAUCCCUCUAGUGGUGGGGGGGGGUUGUGCUUUGGCAAAGUGGGUGGGGUUAUAUCCUACCUGUUUGGCCCUGUCCGGGGGUAUCGUCGGAUGGAGCCAUAGUGUCUCCCGACCACUCCUGUCUCAGCCUCCAGUAUUUAUGCUGCAGUAGUUUGUGUCGGGGGACUAGGGCCAGUCUGUUAUAUCUGGAGUAUUUCUCCUGUCUUAUCCUGUGUCCUGUGUGAAUUUAAGUAUGCUCUCUCUUUCUUUCUUUCUCUCUCUCUCUCUCUCAGAGGACCUGAGCCCUAGGACCAUGCCUCAGGACUACCUGGCCUGAUGACUCCUUGCUGUCCCCAGUCCACAUGGCCGUGCUGCUGCUCCAGUUUCAACUGUUCUGCCUGCGGCUAUUGAAUCCUGACCUGUUCACCGGACGUGCUACCUGUCCCAGACAUGCUGUUUUCAACUCUCUAGAGACAGCAGGAGCAGUAGAGAUACUCUGAAUGUGAUCGGCUACGAAAAGCCACCUGACCUUUAUUCCUGAGGUGCUGACCUGUUGCACCCUCGACAUCCACUGUGAUUAUUAUUAUUUGACCCUGCUGGUCACCUAUGAACAUUUGAACAUCUCCACCCGACACAGCCAGAAGAGGACUGGCCACCCCUCAUAGCCUGGUUCCUCUCUAGGUUUCUUCCUAGGUUCUGGCCUUCCUAGGGAGUUUUUCCUAGCCACCAUGCUUCUACACCUGCAUUGCUUGAUGUUUGGAGUUUUAGGCUGGGUUUCUUUACAGCACUUUGAGAUAUCAGCUGAUGUAAGAAGGGCUUUAUAAAUACAUUUGAUUUGGAUUUGUUCUCGUUUCCCCAUACAUUGUGACUCGACUCACUUGAUCUUUCUCCAUCUGGAUCAUUCGGGUGAAAAAGGCCUUGGAGUAGGGCCGGCUCUCAUGCAAACUGGAAAAUAAGAGAAGGUCCAACGUUGUUUUUCCUUCUUCAAAAUGCUGAACUCAAAUGCAUAUUAAUAAGUCGUCAUCUAAACGAGGAUACCUUGUACAAAAUAACUACUGUGAAUUACAAUCGUAAUUUUACUGAUUUGGCCUUCACAAUGCAGAACUGGGCUUCAGUUUCCUCUGGGCUCUGUGAUGUCAUGCUCCACUCCACCUGCAGCUGCCACAGGGGCAAACUCGACUGUCAACAGACAAGACCAGGGUGGUUAACAUCAGAGACAAUCCCACUGAGCCCAUAUUAUUUCGCAACUCACACCCCGGAUCAACAAUGUCUUUGUGACUACAUAAUUACAUCACAGUCAGCCCCUUCCCGUGAGCUGCCC